rnacentral:hammerhead_ribozyme from 1 species
CAACUGUCGUCGAGUGUGUGCUCGGCCUGAAUGAGUCCAAAAGGACGAAACAGUAG